AUGGCAAUGCCAACACCGCGUGCUGCACAGGGUAGUCAAGCCGAGCCCACUGCCGGUGCCGCUGUCUUGCCUGAAGAUGUGCUGCGUGACAUCCUCCUGCGCCUGCCGGCAAAGACGCUCUGCUGCUUCCGAGCCGUGUGCCGAUCCUGGAGGUCCUUCCUGUCCGACCCGCUCUUCAUCGCAGCGCACAAGUCAAAGCACCCUGGGCCGCUCAUUGUCACAUGCAUCCGUGAUCUGCUCGGAGACGGGGGAGGGACCAUUAACAUAAUGGACUUGUCUGGCCAUGUCGUUAGGCGGAUGACCACCAGCAUAGAGGAUGCCACAUUGCUGUGCACACGCCUGGAUCUCAUCUGUGUCACCGGAGAGAAGGACUGCCACACAAGCGGUCACGUAAUUGACCCGGCCACAGGGCAUACUCUGGCUUUGCCCUACAAGCGCGCACAGGAGCACGCGCAUGUCAAAGCUUUCUUCUCCUAUGCAUUUGAGUUGGGACAGGUUGUCUCCACGGGAGAGUACAAGGCCCUCCGCUGCGUUAGCGUCGAUAGCUCGUGUCACGGCUCCGAGCCGAUGAUCUCCGAGGUCAUCACCCUUGGUGGUGGCCGUGGCGGCGGCGAUCGUCAUGCAAGAUGGAGGGAGAGACCAUGUCCUCCGUGCCCUGUCACUAGUGGCUCGAAGAAAAGUGUGGUUGUCAAUGGAGUUGUCUACUUCUUGUUGGAUUUCGGAAGCCACCGCUUUACAUAUAGUGGAGACCGCGUCGAGCCAUGUAGCAUUGCUUGUUUCGACCUCGAGGCAGAGGAGUGGAUGGGCACGCUCCGAGGUCCACUCCAAGUGCGUAACUUUAUCGAGGCCGGUAAUGGAAGGUGUGAUUACAGUGAUCUAUUCCGUAAACUUUCGUUGGUCAAUAUGAAUGGGUUCUUGGUUAUGGUACACGAUCCUAUGGGUUACCCUUUGGACCUGUGGUUUUUGGUUGACAUUGAGAAAUGUCUCUGGGAUAGAAAGUACAGCAUUGGUUUUCAAUACGAAAAUCUCUUUGCACAACCCUUGCUGGUUCUAGACGACGGCAGAAUAGCCAUCGGCACAUCAGAUUUGCUGCGAAUAUAUGAUCCGGUUUCAGAGAGUUAUACUGAAUUUCAGAUGGCAGGCUCCAGAUUGUUUGCUAUAUACACAGGAAAUCUGUUGAGUUUGAAGAGCAGUUUUACCUCUGAGGCUAAACAUUGUACAACAUGCGGGUGCUACUUUAUCCCCGAAGCCGACCAACAUUGCGAAGAGUGUAUGUGGCAUCUGUAUUGGCUGUCGGUGGAUCCCGAUUCAGAGUACCACAAAUCACGAAUGCCACUAAGCUUGAGUGUCAUCCCUCUUUUCCCUGAAACAUAG
rnacentral:rRNA from 1 species